AGCGCAAGCUACACAUGCAGUCGAGCGCUCUCUUCGGAGGGAGCGGCGGACGGGUUAGUAACGCGUGGGAAUAUACCCUUUGGUACGGAAUAGCCUCUGGAAACGGAGAGUAAUACCGUAUGAGCCCUUCGGGGGAAAGAUUUAUCGCCAAAGGAUUAGCCCGCGUUAGAUUAGGUAGUUGGUGGGGUAAUGGCCUACCAAGCCUACGAUCUAUAGCUGGUUUUAGAGGAUGAUCAGCAACACUGGGACUGAGACACGGCCCAGACUCCUACGGGAGGCAGCAGUGGGGAAUCUUGGACAAUGGGGGCAACCCUGAUCCAGCCAUGCCGCGUGAGUGAUGAAGGCCUUAGGGUCGUAAAGCUCUUUCGCCUGUGAAGAUAAUGACGGUAGCAGGUAAAGAAACCCCGGCUAACUCCGUGCCAGCAGCCGCGGUAAUACGGAGGGGGUUAGCGUUGUUCGGAAUUACUGGGCGUAAAGCGCACGUAGGCGGACUGGAAAGUUGGGGGUGAAAUCCCAGGGCUCAACCCUGGAACUGCCUCCAAAACUAUCAGUCUAGAGUUCGAGAGAGGUGAGUGGAAUUCCGAGUGUAGAGGUGAAAUUCGUAGAUAUUCGGAGGAACACCAGUGGCGAACGCGGCUCACUGGCUCGAUACUGACGCUGAGGUGCGAAAGUGUGGGGAGCAAACAGGAUUAGAUACCCUGGUAGUCCACACCGUAAACGAUGAAUGCCAGUCGUCGGGUAGCAUGCUAUUCGGUGACACACCUAACGGAUUAAGCAUUCCGCCUGGGGGAGUACGGUCGCAGAUAAACUCAAGAUGACGGGGGCCCGCACAGCGGUGGAGCAUGUGGUUAAUUCGAAGCAACGCCGCAGAACCUUACCAAUC
rnacentral:rRNA from 1 species